rnacentral:rRNA from 1 species
UACGUAGGGUGCGAGCGUUGUCCGGAAUUAUUGGGCGUAAAGAGCUCGUAGGCGGUCUGUCGCGUCGGUCGUGAAAACUUGGGGCUUAACCCCGAGCUUGCGGUCGAUACGGGCAUGACUGGAGUUCGGCAGGGGAGACUGGAAUUCCUGGUGUAGCGGUGAAAUGCGCAGAUAUCAGGAGGAACACCGGUGGCGAAGGCGGGUCUCUGGGCCGAUACUGACGCUGAGGAGCGAAAGCGUGGGGAGCAAACAGG